UACGGAGGGUGCGAGCGUUGUCCGGAAUCACUGGGCGUAAAGGGCGCGUAGGCGGCCUGGCAAGUCGAUGGUGAAAGCCCGAGGCUCAACUUCGGGUCGGCCACUGAUACUGCUGGGCUUGAGUCGACUAGAGGCAGAUGGAAUUCCGGGUGUAGCGGUGGAAUGCGUAGAGAUCCGGAAGAACACCGGUGGCGAAGGCGGCUGCCUGGCCCAAUACUGACACUCAUCCGCAAAAGCGUGGGGAGCAAACAGG
rnacentral:rRNA from 1 species